rnacentral:rRNA from 1 species
UACGUAGGUGGCAAGCGUUGUCCGGAUUUACUGGGCGUAAAGAGCGCGCAGGCGGUCAUUCAAGUCGCGUGUGAAAGCCCCCGGCUCAACUGGGGAGGGUCACGCGAUACUGAUCGACUCGAAGGCAGGAGAGGGUAGUGGAAUUCCCGGUGUAGUGGUGAAAUGCGUAGAUAUCGGGAGGAACACCAGUGGCGAAGGCAGGUCUCUGGGCAUUAACUGACGCUGAGGAGCGAAAGCAUGGGGAGCGAACAGG